rnacentral:rRNA from 1 species
AGAGUUUGAUCCUGGCUCAGAACGAACGCUGGCGGCGUGUCUUAAGCAUGCAAGUCGAACGAUAACUCGAAGCUUGCUUCGAGGGACAGUGGCGAACGGGUGAGUAACACGUGGGUAACCUGCCUUCGGAUGGGGGAUAGCAUUAGGAAACUAGUGGUAAUACCGCAUAACACCGAUUGGUCAUAAGACCGCUCGGUCAAAGGCGCUUUCGGGCGUCGUCUGGAGAUGGGCCCGCGGACUAUUAGCUUGUUGGUAGGGUAAUGGCCUACCAAGGCAACGAUGGAUAGCCGGCCUGAGAGGGUGUACGGCCACAUUGGGACUGAGAUACGGCCCAGACUCCUACGGGAGGCAGCAGCUAAGAAUAUUCCGCAAUGGGCGCAAGCCUGACGGAGCGACGCCGCGUGGAGGAUGAAGGCUUUCGGGUUGUAAACUCCUUUUCUUAGGGAAGAAUAAAGUUGGCAGGAAAUGGCCGACCGAUGACGGUACCUAAGGAAUAAGCCCCGGCUAAUUACGUGCCAGCAGCCGCGGUAAUACGUAUGGGGCAAGCGUUGUUCGGAUUCACUGGGCGUAAAGGGCGUGUAGGCGGUGUGGUAAGUCGGAUGUGAAAUCUCCAGGCUCAACCUGGAAACUGCAUUCGAAACUGCCAUGCUUGAGUACCGGAGAGGGAAACGGAAUUCCUGGUGUAGGGGUGAAAUCUGUAGAUAUCAGAAGAACACCGGUGGCGAAGGCGGUUUCCUGGCCGGAUACUGACGCUGAGGCGCGAAAGCUAGGGGAGCAAACAGGAUUAGAUACCCUGGUAGUCCUAGCUGUAAACGUUGUGCACUAGUGUAAGUGGUUUCAACCCACUUGUGCCGUAGCUAACGCAUUAAGUGCACCGCCUGGGGAGUAUGCUCGCAAGGUGAAACUCAAAGGAAUUGACGGGGCCGCACAGCGUGAGCAUGUGGUUUAAUUCGAUGAUACGCGAGACUUACAGGGUUUGACAUGCAGUCGACGGAGCGAAAUGUUUCUUUCUUCGGGACGCUGCAAGUGCUGCAUGCUGUCGUCAGCUCUGUUCUGAAAUGUGGGUAAGUUCCCGCACGAGGCACCCU